UCUCCGUUGGUGAACCAGCGGAGGGAUCAUUACUGAGUUACCGCUCUACAACCCUCUGUGAACAUACCUAACUGUUGCUUCGGCGGGCAGAGGUCCCUCGCGGAUCUCUCCCGGCAACGCCCUCACGGGCGGAGCGCCCGCCGGAGGAUACCAAACUCUAUUUUAACGACGUUUCUUCUGAGUGGCACAAGCAAAUAAUUAAAACUUUUAACAACGGAUCUCUUGGUUCUG
rnacentral:misc_RNA from 1 species